rnacentral:snRNA from 1 species
GUUUAUUCCUGAACAUAUACUAAAAUUGGAAAUACAGAAAAGAUUAGCAUGGCCGCUACGCAGCGUCGACACCUAAAUUCACCCAACGUACAUUGUAAAA